CCCUUCGAUGUUCUGGGCCGCACGCGUGUUACACUGAUAAAUUCAACGAGUCUAGAACCUGUUCUGAGAAGAAUGGGGAAUCUUGUGAAAUUUUAUCGUGAUAGGGAUAGAUGAUUGCAAUUAUUCAUCUUAAACGAGGAAUGCCUAGUAAGGGCAGUUCAUCAAACUGUCCUGAUUACGUCCCUGCCCUUUGUACACACCGCCCGUCGCACCUACCGAUUGAAUGGUCCGGUGAAGCCUCGGGAUUGUGUUUGGUGCCUUUACUGGUGCCGAGCGCGAGAACUUGUCUAAACCUUAUCAUUUAGAGGAAGGUGAAGUCGUAACA
rnacentral:rRNA from 1 species